UGACAACAGAGUCACAGAAUACAUCUACCAUCUUAAUGUCCAAAGUCCAAGUGGUGAAACAGCCUUUAAAAACAUGACCAUUCCAUAUGGCUGGGCAAAGAGGCCCAUGCUGCAGAGAAUUGGCCUGAUUCACGACGACAUCCCCAUUACCGUGAUCUAUGGCUCACGCUCCAGCAUAGAUGGCCACUCCGGCAAUUCAAUCAAAGAAAUGAGGCCAAACUCCCAUGUCGAGAUCAUUGUCAUACGAGGUGCCGGACACUAUGUUUAUGCUGACCAGCCUGAGGAUUUCAACCAGAAGAUACUUCAUGUCUGUGAUACAAUAAGCUGAAUAGGGAUGAAGGUAUAUUUUUCUUCUGGAACUAUCCAAACAGAGCUUAUGGUGUCUCCACAUUGGCUCAUGCAUGUCAACACAUGAUCUUCGUUGCAUAUGAAAUUUGGACUGGAGAUUUGGGAAGCCACUGGGUUUGAAAACCACAUGUUUUGCACCACUACUGGACUUUUUUGAAGCAUUUGUGUUUGUGUGUGUGUG
rnacentral:lncRNA from 1 species